rnacentral:rRNA from 1 species
GACGAACGCUGGCGGCGUGCUUAACACAUGCAAGUCGAACGGAAAGGCCCUGCUUUUGUGGGGUGCUCGAGUGGCGAACGGGUGAGUAACACGUGAGUAACCUGCCCUUGACUUUGGGAUAACUUCAGGAAACUGGGGCUAAUACCGGAUAGGAGCUCCUGCUGCAUGGUGGGGGUUGGAAAGUUUCGGCGGUUGGGGAUGGACUCGCGGCUUAUCAGCUUGUUGGGGGGGUAGUGGCUUACCAAGGCUUUGACGGGUAGCCGGCCUGAGAGGGUGACCGGCCACAUUGGGACUGAGAUACGGCCCAGACUCCUACGGGAGGCAGCAGUGGGGAAUAUUGCACAAUGGGCGGAAGCCUGAUGCAGCAACGCCGCGUGCGGGAUGACGGCCUUCGGGCUGUAAACCGCUUUCGCCUGUGACGAAGCGUGAGUGACGGUAAUGGGUAAAGAAGCACCGGCUAACUACGUG